GAUCCUGGCUCAGAAUCAACGCUGGCGGCGUGCCUAACACAUGCAAGUCGCGCGCGAAAGGGGGGCAACUCCCAAGUAGAGCGGCGAACGGGUGAGUAACGCGUGGGUGAUCUACCUCCGAGUGGGGAAUAACACCGGGAAACUGGUGCUAAUACCGCAUGACAUCCCUGGUUCAGUUCAGGGAUCAAAGCCGGGGACCGCAAGGCCUGGCGCUUGGAGAGGAGCCCGCGUCCGAUUAGCUAGUUGGCGUGGUAACGGCCCACCAAGGCGACGAUCGGUAGCCGGCCUGAGAGGGCGGACGGCCACACUGGGACUGAGACACGGCCCAGACUCCUACGGGAGGCAGCAGUGGGGAAUUUUUCGCAAUGGGGGAAACCCUGACGAAGCAACGCCGCGUGGAGGAUGAAGGCCUUCGGGUCGUAAACUCCUGUCGACCGGGAAGAAUGCACCUGACCUAACACGUCGGCGUGUUGACUGUACCGGUGGAGGAAGCCACGGCUAACUCUGUGCCAGCAGCCGCGGUAAUACAGAGGUGGCAAGCGUUGUUCGGAAUUACUGGGCGUAAAGGGCGCGUAGGCGGCCCGCCAAGUCCCGUGUGAAAGCCCCCGGCUCAACCGGGGAACGGCGCGGGAAACUAGCAGGCUUGAGAUCGGGAGAGGGAGGCGGAAUUCCGGGUGUAGCGGUGAAAUGCGCAGAUAUCCGGAGGAACACCGGUGGCGAAGGCGGCCUCCUGGACCGACACUGACGCUGAGGCGCGAAAGCUAGGGGAGCAAACG
rnacentral:rRNA from 1 species